GAAGGAAAGAAAGGAAGGAAAAGAAGGAAAGGAAGGUGAAGAAGAAGCUUUUGAAGCAAAAAGGCUUCAUCUUCUUCCUCUCUAGGGCAAGAAAGGAAAGCUUACAAGGUAAGCUUUGAUCUAUAUUGUAGGAAAACCCUAGAAUGAGUUUUGAAUGAACCUAGAGAUGGUUUUUAAUGGAAUAUCUAGUAGUUUUGAAGCUUUCUUUUGCUUCUAAAGAGAUCAAAACCUAGUUUUGAUAUAUAGGUGAGCUUGGGCCACCUCUAAUGGUGAAAUCCAAACUAGGGUUUUGGAAAGCCUAAGAAUGGUUCUAAUGGAUUAUUUAGAGUAUAAUGAAGCUACUUUUGCUUCCCAAUGAGAUCAAACCCUAGGUUUGACAUGAGUAUUGGAGCUAGGGCACCAAAUUGGGGCUUUUGCUCAUGAGGGUUUCUAAGUGCAAUUGACCCUCUAAAAACCUAAUUGGGGGUAUUUCCGACGCGUUGGUGCGCUCGGA
rnacentral:lncRNA from 1 species